AAUGAACGUUGGCGGCGUGGAUUAGGCAUGCAAGUCGUGCGACAGGCCCGCAAGGGCGCUGAGCGGCGAAAGGGAGAGUAACGCGUAGGAUAUCUACCCUCAGGACCGGGAUAGCUACGGGAAACUGUAGGUAAUACCGGAUGAUGUCUCCGGACUAAAGGUGUGAUUCCGCCUGAGGAGGAGUCUGCGUCCUAUUAGCUAGUUGGUGGGGUAACGGCCUACCAAGGCUGAGAUGGGUACGGGGUAUGAGAGUAUGCCCCCGCUCACUGGGACUGAGACACUGCCCAGGCACCUACGGGUGGCUGCAGUCGAGGAUCUUCGGCAAUGGGCGCAAGCCUGACCGAGCGACGCCGCGUGUGGGAUGAAGGCCUUCGGGUUGUAAACCACUGUCAGUGGGGAGGAAAUACUAUGGGGUUCUCCUCGUAGUUUGACCUAUCCGCAGAGGAAGUACGGGCUAAGUUCGUGCCAGCCGCCGCCGUAAUAC
rnacentral:rRNA from 1 species